AUCGCGUUGUUGUCGUCUAUCAUCAAAGAAGUGAUGGUGGAUGAAUGAAUGGACCGCCGUAUGCAUCCUGGCAUGGAGAAUAACAUAGUCUCGAUUGUUUUUAAGGAUUAGGCAGUGCGAUUCUGUUAUUUCACGGACUGUUGCUGCUUUGGGAAUCUAAACGGAUUCCUGGGCGAAUCGACAGCAAUGUCUACGGGAUUGAGCUCGAGUAACGCGGGUUCGCACGUCUCGCAAGAAGGCUCGAUCAGAAGGCUAUCAACCACGAAAUGAAGAUUAUAGUAUGUGUGAAAAUAGGGCUAAUGUUCUAGCCUAAAUGUAACAUUACGUCAGUUGUCACCACAUCAUGUGUGCACUAUAUUAUUGCAAGUAAAGUUAAUGUUGGUGAUGCUCCAAGAUCCUCUAUAAACAACCAGAUGAAGCAGGUGACUGUCUAUUUUCGACAUUUCUGAAUUACUGACUUUUUACUGAAUUAGUACUUUAUUUUGGGGAAUUAAAAACUCCAAUAGCCUGCCUUUUCCAGGUACAAUGGGACAUAUCUGUGUUUGUUUGUUUUCAGUAGAUUCCUUAACGUGACACUGUGCGAGACGAGCCCUGGGCGAAUUGGCUCAUAGCAACGCUGUUACAGUCUCUGCUUUUGUUUGCGUGUUACCGGCCGGAGACACCGCGAAGUUGUUAGGGUUGAAGCUGAAACAAGUGAACUGUCAAGCGGCUGUUUUGAAAGGAAAUCCCCAUUUUACCCCAAUUACUCCAUGGAUGACUCUGGAAUAAUUCGGCGUCGGAGGCUGCAGGAUCUGCCACUGCCUCGCAAGAACAGCAGGUGAGUAGAGUUUUGUUCCCUUCUGGCCAGCUGGGCUCUCCAUACCCAACCCCCAAGUUUGUGUUUGGAAACAACUCAUGUAUCAGCUGAAGGCUAUUCUGUUACCUGCAUCCAAUCACUGACAGGAUUAGCAUUUGCACACCAUAUUGAGGCAUUUACAGUUCCCCAGAGGGAAAUAGAAAGAACGGAGGAGGCAAUCCUUUUGCG
rnacentral:lncRNA from 1 species